UUCAUAGCCAUGUUGUAUAUGAGGGCAGGUCUAAUGAUAUAACACCGCAGAUCUGAUAUAGACCUCAAGGCUUAUUUUGGUUAGAGUGCAGUACUGCAGGCUACUUCUGCUGACUGCCAGCUGACUGCAAUUUGGCAGUUCGAUUCUCACCAGGUUCAAGAUUAACUCAGACUUCCAUCCUUCCGAGACACCCCUGGAUCUAACUGAUCUUGUCACAUAUGGAAGCAUAUUUUGAAUGGUACUUCCUCAAUGUGUAGACCUUGCUUCAAUGUUCUUGCUGUUCUCUCUUAAGAACGAUUCGGUCCAUUAGCUUCUGCACAAGCAGAAAGAAGGCAAAACGCAAAACAAUCAGGCAUCUGGAAAACUGUUUAUCUGAUCAACACCAAAUACUGUCAAACCAUUGACAUGUGCAUAGUUUCGGGACGUCAGCCUGAAUAGACACAGCAAGCCCAAGAGUUAAUUAUCUUUGACAACUUUGCCAGUUAAUUUCCUAUUUCUAUGAGCAAAACAUGGGCUUGUGCAAAGCUGCUUUUUUACCUCCCCUUGUCACCGAGGGUUUAUCAAUCAAAACAAGGCCUAGAUUUGGCUGCCAAGACAGCUUCUCAUCUCAAAGGGGAGUUUAUCUGUUUGAAAUCGUUUCAACUACCUAACGACAGCAAUGCGGAUGUGAAAUAUAAUAGGCAUUGUUUCGCCUCACCCAAGCCAGCCUCCAUUUCUUCCCUUAUUCAGAGAGAGAAAGCAGCGGACUACCCAGAGGCUGAGAUUAAGGGAUCCAGCUAUCUCAUCAUAUGUCAUUUGCUGUACUGUUGUUAGUUCCAGAUUCUAAAAACAACAGCCACUCUACGCAACCGUCAAAGACUGAUUUGAGAUGGUCGCCGUUUCGCUCUGGAAUUUUAGCUGACAGGAUGCACCAUUGUCCAUCCUUUGUCUCGAGCAACCCAAGCGCAUUUUGCUCAGAAAUAUCAUUUGUGUAAAGAGAUGGAGUGGGGGAACCAAUCGGUUCCUGCUGAGGCAGUCAAAGUCUUGGUAUGUGCUGUUGCUGUUUUGCAUCGAUGAACAGGUGCCCUUUCUUUGAAUCACGAUAAACGGUUUUCUCACGCUUCUUUUAAGCCAGGAUAGACUUUACAAGAAAAGCAUCUGCCUUAAUUUCCACCCUGACCUCACAGCUUGCAAGCAUAUUUAUUCAACUUUGGUGCAGUGGUUAGGGCAUCAGUCUAGAAACUGGGAGACUGUGAGUUCUAGUUCUGCCUUAGGUACAAAACCAGUUGGGCCACCAUGGGUCAGUCAAACUCUCCCAGCAACCAUUUCCAAAAUCUUGCCACGAAAACUUCAGGGAUUUGUCCAGCAACUCUCCAGGAGUCAAAAUUGACUCAAAGGCUUACAUACAUAAAUGUGUAAAUACAUACAUACAUACAUACAUACAUACAUACAUACAUACAUACAUACAUUCAUACAUUAUACAUAACUUAGUGCAUGAUAAUAUGGGCAGAAUGGAAAAAAGAUGCCCAUUUUUUGAUUGGCCAACUCAUAUUUAAAACAUAGGAAAGAGUUGCAAGCAUCUUUGCAACAAGAGGUCUAACUGACAGGUAAAAACCUCCAAGGAAGAAUACAGAUAGAAUUGAAAUAAAAUUUAUUCUUGAUGUGGGUCACAGGACCAAGAUGAUGGAAGUUUAAAUGGAGCAGUUUGUUUGUUUGUUUGUUUGUUUGUUUGUUUGUUUUGUCACAGUAUAUAUAAGCAUAAGCAUGAAAUAACUAUACAAUAUAUAAGCAUAUACAUAAAUAUGAGUAUGUACUAACGACAAAAACUGUUUCAACUCCUACCCUCAAAACGACACUAUAGAGCACUGCACAACAGAACAACUAGACACAAGAACAGUUUUUUCCCGAAGGCCAUCACUCUGCUAAACAAAUAAUUCCCUCAACACUGUCAAACUAUUUACUAAAUCUGCACUACUAUUAAUCUUCUCAUCGUUCCCAUCACCAAUCUCUUUCCACUUAUGACUGUAUGACUAUAACUUUGUUGCUGGCAAUCCUUAUGAUUUAUAUUGAUAUAUUGACCAUCAAUUGUGUUGUAAGUGUUGUACCUUGAUGAACAUAUCUUUUCUUUUAUGUACACUGAGAGCAUAUGCACCAAGACAAAUUCCUUGUGUGUCCAAUCACACUUGGCCAAUAAAAAUUCUAUUCUAUUCUAUUCUAUUCUAUUCUAUUCUAUUCUAUUCUAUUCUAUUAAUUGGAUAUAACGAAAGGAAACAAUAGGACAGGAACGGUAGAAAAUUGCCAACUUUCAUAGCUGCUGCUUAACUAUUUCCUAAAGAAAUACACAGGGAUUUUUUUUCUGGAUCUUUUGUUUCCAGCCCUGACUAGAUCCAUCCUUUUCUUUUGCCAGAUCCUCCUCCCCCCACUAAAUUUAGUCCCUUUCUGUUCAAAGAGUGAAUAAAGAGAGCUCUUGUGCUGAUGAACAGAGAUAUUAUCUAUUGGUGUUUGUCAACCUUGGCCAUUUGAAGAUGUGUGCACUUCAGCUCCCAGAAUUCCCAGAAUUCCAACUCCCAUGGCUGGCUGGGGAAUUCUGGGAGUGUUGUUUUUUUUUAAUUUGCAUUUAUAUCCCGCCCUUCUCCGAAGACUCAGGGCGGCUUACAUUAUGUUAGCAAUAGUCUUCAUCCUAUUUGUAUAUUUAUAUACAAAGUCAACUUAUUGCCCCCAACAAUCUGGGUCCUCAUUUUACCUAUCCACAUAUCUUCAAACUGACAAGGUUGACAAACACUGAAUUCCAGUCUACAAAAAUUUAUUCGGCCUAUAAAGGGUAUUAGGUCUAUGGAUUUUGGAUAUAUUUUUUUUCUUGCAGGCAAUACAGUUAUUAUACACCACACCAUAGUGAGGGAUCGAAAAAUAUUAUAUUUUACUAAAGCCCAGGUAAACCUGACUUCUGCGAGCAUCUUAAACUUGGCUCUGCUCUUUAUAUAUUAAAAGGAAAGAGAGAAGAACAAGAUGUAUGUAUGUGUGUUUGUUUAUGUUAACACAUUAUCUCUAAAAUUUUAUUUCGAGUUAUGAAAACAUGAACAACAAGGCUGUUUUCUAACAAAUACCAAUCAAUUCUUUCAGCCCAUUUAAACUACAAGACUAUCAAGUAAAGCAGUUUAUGAAGCUGAAAUUUUUCAUAAUUAUUGGGGGUAAAUAAUGCAUGACUUUUGAAUGUAUGUUGGCAUAAAAUUCACAGCAAUACCUGCUGAAAUUCCCAUUUGCCAGACAGACACUCUAGUCACACUGCUUUUCCAUUCCUCUUUAUCAUGCAAAUGUUUUGUUUAUCUCACCUACAUUGUGUUCUCUGUGUUAAAUAAAAUGCAUUUGAAAAUACCCUACAAUAAGUGUGUGAGGAUUUGGUAAGAAACAACUAAACUACAACAUGGCCACAAUCUAUUUCUUUUAAAACAGUCCUGCUGUUUUAAAAUUUAGCAGACUGGCAAAAUCAAAAUGCACUGGAUUUUGAUCUAUAGAGUAAGUAUGGGGAAUACUUACUAAGAAUUCACUGCUGAUUUUGUAUUAAGAAUGAUUUGACAUUGAGAGAAAGAGAAAGAGAAUCUAACAGAAGCUAUUUGUCUCUUUGGAAAUGGAGUCGAAAGAAUUAAGUGGUCAGGUCUGUAAGCCAUCUUUUGCAUUGGGCCUUCAGACCUGCCACAUUUACUACUGUGGGAAACUGGGAAGGGGGAUUGUAUGGAGCAUGGGUGAUAUACAGUCAUAAUAACAUUCCUUUCUCAGAGAGUCAAGGACAUCUUGCCCUGCCCCUGGACGGCUGGAACUGGGAAGCAUCUCCAGUUGGAAUAGUGCUUUAAUUGGGCCAUGUGAUGGACUUGUGGGUGUUGGGCAGGGACUUGAAUUUUUCCUUGGGUCAGGAAAACCUGGAAACUUCAGAUUCGGGUUUUCCCAGAUGUGCCAAGGUGACAUCUCUAAUAAAAUGUAACUUUGAGGAAAUUCAAGCCUCAGAGUUUUCUUUUGUUGGGGGUGUUACUU